GACGAACGCUGGCGGCGUGCUUAACACAUGCAAGUCGAACGGUAAGGCCCUUCGGGGUACACGAGUGGCGAACGGGUGAGUAACACGUGGGUGAUCUGGCCUGCACUUCGGGAUAAGCCUGGGAAACUGGGUCUAAUACCGGAUAGGACCACUGCCUGCAGGGGUGGUGGUGGAAAGCUUUUGCGGUGUGGGAUGGGCCCGCGGCCUAUCAGCUUGUUGGUGGGGUGAUGGCCGACCCAGGCGACGACGGGUAGCCGGCCUGAGAGGGUGACCGGCCACACUGGGACUGAGAUACGGCCCAGACUCCUACGGGAGGCAGCAGUGGGGAAUAUUGCACAAUGGGCGCAAGCCUGAUGCAGCGACGCCGCGUGAGGGAUGACGGCCUUCGGGUUGUAAACCUCUUUCAGCACCGACGAAGCGCAAGUGACGGUAGGUGCAGAAGAAGGACCGGCCAACUACGUGCCAGCCGCCGCGGUAAUAC
rnacentral:rRNA from 1 species